ACUCAGUGGAGCAGAAAAGAUCGCGGUGCCCAGAAUUUGAAAGAAAAGCAUAGCAGAGUCUGAGCAUUUCAAGUUAAGAAAUGCGGCCAUUAUCAAACCUGCUUAAAGGGAAGUGGUUCCUGCAAGUCCACCUCAUGUUAGUUUUUACAUUAUUGCUGGAUAGUUACAGAGUGUACCACUCACAACUUCUAAAGUGGACACAAAAUGAGAAGAACACUGCAGUCUGAUUGGUUAACUUCUGUGGUGCUCCUUUAGCAUCUGAAGAGAAGAAUUUCACAUCUGACAGUAAGGCGUAUUCCUGCUGGGAGAGACCCCCCUAUUAGAGUCAGGACCUCUUGUACCUAAAUCUAUAUGCAACAUCAUCAUUGAAAACUUUUGGAGACUGGUAUGCACCAAUUUCCUUUCAUGCUGUUGACUAUUUUUGUUCAGGAAAUAAAU